UUUUACUGAUCAUUCCAGAAUGAAGCUAAAUUCAAGACUCUGAUUGUGGACGAGUAUGUAUUGCCAAACUUUGAUGUAACCUUACACUUUCCUCCAUUCGGACCUAGAGACGGAAACUUUACUGGCAUUAAAGUUACUUCCAGGUAUACAUUUGGUAAACCAGUGAAGGGAAUACUUGACAUACGAUACCUCCCUUCUAACCUUCGCAAAAAUCCAUGGUCCAUGGAAGCUAGGAAGAAACGUGGUCUUGUGAACGAGA